GUGCCAGCAGCCGCGGUAAUACGAAGGGUGCAAGCGUUAAUCGGAAUUACUGGGCGUAAAGCGCGCGUAGGUGGUUCAGCAAGUUGGAUGUGAAAGCCCCGGGCUCAACCUGGGAACUGCAUCCAAAACUACUGAGCUAGAGUAUGGUAGAGGGUGGUGGAAUUUCCUGUGUAGCGGUGAAAUGCGUAGAUAUAGGAAGGAACACCAGUGGCGAAGGCGACCACCUGGACUGAUACUGACACUGAGGUGCGAAAGCGUGGGGAGCAACCAGGAUUAGAUACCCUGGUAGUCC
rnacentral:rRNA from 1 species